GAUACCACGAAUGCUAGGUUGGACUUACAAGAUCUGAAGAUAAGAAAGGAUUUACAUCUUGUAGAAGUGGGUAACCGAUUGGUGAAGCCACAUGCGAGCUACACGUUGACUACCAGUGAACGAGUAGAGUUUUGUAAGUUUCUGAAAUCAGUUAAGUUUUCCGAUGGAUUUGUUUCCAAUAUAUCGAGAUGUGUGCAUGAAAGAGAGGGGAAAAUAUCAGGACUAAAAACGCAUGAUUGUCAUGUUUUAUUACAUCGACUGCUACCAAUUGGUAUUCGAGCAUUCUUACCGAAGAACGUAUACACUGCUAUAACUGAAUUAUGUAAUUUUUUUCGUGACUUGUGCGCCCGAACGAUAAGAGUAAGUGAUCUAGACAGAUUGCAAGCAGAUAUCAUAAUCAUACUUUGUAAGUUGGAAAGAAUAUUUCCACCUGUCUUUUUUAGCGUUAUGGUGCACCUUGCCGUUCACUUACCAUAUGAAACGAAGAUUACUGGUCUGGUUUCUUAUUAAUUAUCCACUUUUAUUAUAUAUUUUUGCGCGUUACCUAACAUAAUUUUUAAAUUUGUUGCAGAAUCAAAUGCUGAAACUCCAAUCCCAGCCUACCCCAGAGGGUAGUCAGCCACUCUCUGAGGAUGAGAUAUGCGAUCAGGUGUUGGGUAGACGACCAGGCUACUCAAAAGGCCUUGGUUGGGGACCCAAGCCGAAGGCCCGCAGAACGGCAAGUGCAAGCAGUUCGUCGACAUCUUGUUCGCAGUCCACACAAAAAGAGAUUGAAUUACAAGCUAAACUUCAUGAAGCUUUGGAACGGAUUGAAGUACAAGAUAGAAAUCACCAAGCAUUAGCUUCACAAGUGGAAGCUAUGGAAAAGAUGAUUGAAGACCUAACUCGUGCACAACAGGGACCACCACAUGAUCCCUAGCUCUGCGGACCGAAGGUGUAGAAUGACGCGCAUACGCACCUCGUUGGGAGAUUGGGUCUUAUGUUUAUGUUUUUUCUAUAUUGAGAACUAUAUUUUCUUGUAGUCAACUUAUUCGUAUUAUUAAUUUUAAUUCUAUUUUUUUAA